CAGCCGUAAACUAUGCUCGCUAGGUGUCAGGGACGGUGCGACCGUUUCUGGUGCCGCAGGGAAGCCGUGAAGCGAGCCACCUGGGAAGUACGGUCGCAAGGCUGAAACUUAAAGGAAUUGGCGGGGGAGCACUACAACGGGUGGAGCCUGCGGUUUAAUUGGACUCAACGCCGGAAAUCUUACCGGGACCGACAGCAACAUGAAGGCCAAGCUGAAGACUUUGCCGGAUUAGCUGAGAGGUGGUGCAUGGCGUAGUCGUGU
rnacentral:rRNA from 1 species